GUAGUCAUAUGCUUGUCUCAAAGAUUAAGCCAUGCAUGUCUAAGUUCAAACAAAAAUAAACUGUAACCGUGAAUGGGUCUCUACAUCUCUUAUGGUUCCUUAUAUCGGACUUACUACUUGGAGAACUGUGGUGAUUCUUCAGCUAAUACAUGCGGUGAGCCCCAACCCUCGUGGAAGGGGGGCUUUUUUUAUAUCUAAGCCAAUCAAGUUUCCGCUCGUUUCAUUGGGGACUCUGAAUAAUUUUGCCAAUCGCAGGGCCUCUGACCGGCAACCUACCUUUCAAGUGUCGGCCUUAUCAAUUUUCAAUGGUAGGUUAUGCCCCUACCAGGGAGGCAACGGGUAACGGGAAAU
rnacentral:rRNA from 1 species